rnacentral:rRNA from 1 species
UACGUAGGGUGCAAGCGUUGUCCGGAAUUAUUGGGCGUAAAGAGCUCGUAGGCGGUCUGUUGCGUCGGCUGUGAAAACCCGGGGCUCAACUCCGGGCCUGCAGCCGAUACGGGCAGACUAGAGUUCGGCAGGGGAGACUGGAAUUCCUGGUGUAGCGGUGAAAUGCGCAGAUAUCAGGAGGAACACCGGUGGCGAAGGCGGGUCUCUGGGCCGAUACUGACGCUGAUGCGCGAAAGCGUGGGUAGCAAACAGG